UAUAGUUUUUAAUGCUAGGGUAUUUGAGUUCCACUUCAAAUCAUCAUCAAGCAGAACCCCCAGGAGCUUAACUGUCUGAAGUACAGGCAAGGAUUGACCAGAGAUAUGGAGAUCGAUGUCUGGAAGAUGUUGACGACCAAAAUAAACU